UUAAGAGAUAAGUAAUACAUGAAACCAGUUGGCCAACUUUAAGCGUUGUACGGGUGCGUAAAACACCGAAAAUCGUGAACUUCGUAAGGCUAUACCAUAAAAACCAAUGAUUUGCAGGUAGUCGAGUUUUGGACAAGUACCUACAUAGUGAACAAAAAAAUAAUAGGCCACAAAUAUAAACGAACAGUUCGUUAAACCGUAUUAGUUGUAACAAAAACUCGCAAAUUUCGUUGGAUCAGGUUAUUUUCAUAAAACAUUUCGAUACUUUCAAGUUUCAGCUCAUCGGAGUGAGAUGAUUAGAUGAAGAUGGAUGAAGAUAGCUGUUUCUUCGGCGAUGGCGGCACUCUAGCUACGUUUCACCGGAAGAGUAGAUGUUUACGAUUCUGGCUGUAUUCUGGAGCGUUUCCUCAUGGGCGUCGCCGUCGCAGUUCACACACGUCACGGAUUCCGCCGAAGGAGUCGAUAAUUAAAACUGAACUUUUGGAUCGGAUAUAUGAAGACGCGCGCUGCAUUUUCCUUGACGGAGACGCACAGCUCUGACACUAGACAAUAUUAUGCACUCAAAGGGACCGCGUUUCGUCGGAAGAAUAAAUAAUUACGUAAGUUUUUUCCUACUACUCUGUUGACGCGGUAGACCUAAUGUAAAUAUUUAUUGUCAGACAAACUUAUAUACCCGCUAGACGUAGAGUAGUUUUUAAAAUCCAGUUGUUAUAGGUGUACAAAAAUUAGGAUAUUAUGAAAAGUACCUUAAAUUAUAAUACUUUGCCUACAACUGUUAAUUUAUUGUUAUAGUAGAAUAAUUUUUAAAAUUUUAAAUCAAUGAUUAGGUAAUGCUUUUAUAAGUAGGAAGAUAGGUUUUUAUACCUACCUAACAAAAUAAGAAAAUACAUAUUGAUUAAUGUUAUUUAAUAUGAUUUGUAAG